AUGGAAAUGAGGCUUCCAGUGGCUUGCAAGCCUCUUAGCGAGAGACUGGGUGGAGACACUAAGAAACAUCUAGUGGUGCCGGGGGACACAGUCACUACAGACACGGGAUUCAUGCGGGGCCAUGGAAUGUAUAUGGGAGAAGAGAAGCUCAUCGUAUCUGUUGCCGGCUCUGCAGAGAUAAGUUGAUCUGGUGAAAGCUUUGAAAACCAGAUACAUUGGUGAAGCAGGAGACAUUGUAGUAGGAAGAAUCACAGAGGUUCAACAGAAGAGGUGGAAGGUGGAGACCAACUCCAGGCUGGAUUCGGUCCUGCUGUUCUCGUCCAUGAACCUUCCUGGAGGAGAGCUGAAGAGAAGAUCUGCAGAAGAUGAGCUUGCAAUGACAGGUUUCUUACAGGAAGGGGACCUUAUCAGUGCUGAGGUCCAGGCAGUGUUCUCUGAUGGAGCUGUCUCUCUGCACACGAGGAGCCUGAAAUAUGGAAAACUAGGUCAGGGGGUUUUGGUCCAGGUGUCCCCCUCCCUGGUGAAACAGCAGAAGACCCACUUUCAUGAUUUGCCAUGUGGUGCCUCAGUGGUUCUUGUUAACAAUGGCUUCAUCUGGAUCUACCCAACACCUGAGCACAAAGAAGAGGAAGCACGGGGCUUCAUUGCAAACCUGGAGCCUGUCUCUCUUGCUGAUGGAGAAGUGAUAUCCCGGCUUCGGAACUGCAUCAUCUCGCUGGUAACUCAGAGGAUGAUGCUGUAUGAUACCAGCAUCCUGUACUGCUAUGAAGCAUCCCUUCCACAUCAGAUCAAAGACAUCUUAAAGCCAGAAAUAAUGGAGGAGAUUGUGAUGGAAACAUGCCAGAGGCUUUUAGAACAGGAGGGAUAAGGAGGUACUCCAGAAAGACAGGACUGUGGACCUUGCAGGAGUGAAGACUGUGAUGUGUGGUCCCCAUAUGUGGCUCAGCGAAGACUCGAGA